GAGCCCUCAAACUCAACUCUGUACCUCGAUGCCAGUUCCGCUGCAUUGUUCCCCUCUAAUCAGGGACUGCUUUAGACCUGGGACACAUAAUUCAUUACUAGGUACAAGAGUAAAGCAGCAGGCUCCGGACCUUGUAGGAGCUUGGGCGUAAGGGAGUUCUGGUCCUCACCAGGUCAGCGGGCAGGUGGGCGAAGGAGGGCACAUUGAAGACUCUCUGGACAAGCUCUGGGGGGCAGGCCUGGCCCAGCCACAGGAAGAGGGAGCGCCCAUUCUCCAGCAGGAACAUGCCAGCAUCUGUCAGGCGCUCCUCAGAACAGCGCACUGGAGCUGGCACCACAUCACUGGCAACAUCCAUAUUGUGCUGGAGGAGGAAUCAAUGAAUGAAUAUAACUUCAAAGAUAUGGAGGGGGCUGCACAUGACUCAUGUUAGACCACAAUCUGUAACAAGAACCAUU